rnacentral:rRNA from 1 species
UACGUAGGGACCAAGCGUUGUUCGGAUUUACUGGGCGUAAAGGGCGCGUAGGCGGCGCGGUAAGUCACUUGUGAAAUCUCUGAGCUUAACUCAGAACGGCCAAGUGAUACUGCAGUGCUAGAGUGCAGAAGGGCAAUCGGAAUUCUUGGUGUAGCGGUGAAAUGCGUAGAUAUCAAGAGGAACACCUGAGGUGAAGACGGGUUGCUGGGCUGACACUGACGCUGAGGCGCGAAAGCCAGGGGAGCAAACGGG